AGUUGUAGUGAGCUGAGAUCAUAUCACUCUACUCCAAUCUGGGCAAUAGAGCGACACUGUCUCAAAAAUAAAUUUUUUAAAAAUAUAAUUAAACUGGCAUUGAUAUAAAGAUACAUUAUUAUAUUAUUCUUCAGUCAUUCUGGGAGGCCUAAUUAAAUUACCAUUUGAACAAAUGUACAACAGAUUAUUGCUAAAAGUUUCAAAAUAGAAAACUAAAACUUUGCUUUCCUUAUGUUUCAUUUAUCAUUAGAGAUAUACAAUUAUUUAUCUCAUAUAUUGACAUGUUUAGUUUCUGCUAAAAAGCGCCAUUUAUGAGGCAAACUAUUGUGUAUUAGCAUUCUGAUAUUUAAGCAUUGUCAGUGUUUGGAAGAAUUGGAAAACCUUUGAGUAUAUUGAUUUGAAAUUUUCAAUUUUACACUUGUAUUCUAUAAUAUGCUUUCCUAACUUGCUUCUUUGUAGAAAAACCCAUGCUUGCUUUUGCCUUGUAGAGUGGGAAGCUAAAGAAAGAGAUUUGCUGGAGGAUAAUGGAAUGGAAGGAGAAUAAGAAGGAAUGAAAAAUAGGAAUAAGUGAAAAGUUGGAAGGCAAAGGAGGGAAUGAAAAAAGAAAAUUUAGAAUUCAGGCAUCACAGACAGGGAUCAGAAUGUGAGACAUAGUAAAACUGAAAAAUCGGAAUAUUUGUGGAUUAUGCAUCUAUUGGGAAAUAAAAUGAUUCAGAAAAAUUAUAAUUGAGUUUUACUGUUUUAAAACAAAAAAAGCAGAUUUAAAGUACAUAUGAGAAAAUGGGCGAUAUGAAUACUUUCUAGUUAGAUAUAGAAAUAUCGAUUUGUUUUUCUUCUUUAUUGCUGAUUAUGUCAUUCAGUGGAGGGGAAGGAAUUAUCUGAUGAGCAGUGCGGAUGCCUGGGAACCAAAAUUGUCAAGGAAGCUAAAUUUAGUGAUUCUCAGUUAGGAGUACUUGUUAACUCUGUCUUUUUAAGAGAUACACUGUGAACAUAUAAACUUUUAAUACCUUGGGUAUUACAUAUAUAGGAAUAAUACUAAUAGGAAUAUGGACAUUCCUAUUUAUUCCAAAUUAGGACAGAGAGGUACUAUUAAUAUUAAAUAUAUUAGAAUUUUAUUUUUAGUGGUCUGUAACAUAUAGCUAAAAGACUCAGUAAAAUGGCAGAUAGUAUUUUGUUUUAAUAAGAUUAAAAUCAGCAGAUGUCACCCAGGAUAAGUACAUUAGAAUGAAUUUUUCCACAGAUUUCAGAAUUGUUGUUAGAAUGGAGAGAAGAAUAAUGUUUUAUUC